UCUCACUUAUCAAAAUGAUAACUCAACACUGCAGUGAUAACUCAACUCUCGUUCUCUAUUCUCUCUCACCAAAAAUCUCACCGAUCAAAAUGAAUCGAUGACAACAAUCAAUCGCCACUGUCGCCGCCACAUCACCACCGUCACGCAUCAUCGUCGUCACGCCUCUCAGAAUUCAGUUUUCUUUUCUCGACCACAAACAACAAAUCGAUCACAGAAGCAGAGCUAUUCACCACAUUAAUGUCUUUCUCUCUUCACAACCUCGAAUAAUCACUUCGAUUCUUCGUUCAAUUCACAACGUCAAUUCAUAGCUCGAUUCAUCAGCAUUCCAUUCGUUGUAGAAUCUUCAUCUUAGGGUUCGUGAUUUUGUUCUAAUUAAUUCAAUUUGAGAUAAGUGAUAAUUUGUGUUUUUGUUCUUAGUUAUAAUUUGUUGAUUCUGUUAUUCUUUAUUCAUUCAUUCAUUUGUUCAUGCUUCUGCUUUAGCUGAAGCUUAACAAUCAUCGAUUUCGGCAACCGCCAAUGUCCAACAUCAACAAUUCAACGAUAUCGAUCUUCGGAUUGCAGCUCUAGCUAUCAAAAGACAGCAUUGUUUCCCUCGUUGUAUUAUUGUGAAAUUUGACAGUGAAAUUUUCUCUUGCAAGGUUUUGGUGUUGGUUGAGGUUUCGGUGUUGGAUACGAUUUCAGAGGACCAAAACGGAAGUUAUUUUGAUUCAGGGCAGUUCCAGAUUGUUGCCUAACAAGGGUGAUUGGGAAAUCAACCUGUAUGAGUUCGAUUUCUCAAGUUCUACGCGUAUUGGAAAGGUACUGCCUCCUGCGUUUUAUUCUCUUGGAGACAAUGUGACUGAUGAAGGAAAAGCCAGUACUAUUUGAGGGUGGGGAGCUCUGUUCUUGGAGGUCUGACUUGACAGUUCCAUUUUCUAGAUUUGCAGAUAUGGAUGGUCUGACAUCUUUAAAAAGUUUAUUCAUUGAAGAAUCUCAAGCUGGCAUUAAAAUAUCUCCUCAAGAUAGUAGUUACUAUGGACAAAAUGAUAGAAAGUUCAUGAACAGAUUGUCAAAGGAAAAGCUGAGGAGAAAGGAGAUGGUGUGGUGGCUAGAAAGUUCAUGAAUGGUCCAGCAGCAAAAGUAGAUGAUCAGCAAGAGCCUGAACCAUGCACACCUCAGAACAAUCAUAAAGAGCCUGAUCCGGACGCAUCAGAACUAGUACAACUUUUGGACCGAAGUCAGCUUCCCAGAUUAAACCCCUCCAACGCUGCUGAUCAAGCCAAUGCAGAAGCCACUAUGAGAAAAGCACGAGUCUCAGUCCGUGCUAGAUCAGAAGCCCACAUGAUCAAUGAUGGAUGCCAAUGGCGAAAAUACGGACAAAAAAUGGCUAAAGGAAACCCUUGUCCUCGUGCGUAUUAUAGAUGCACAAUGGCUCUUGGUUAAGUAUAUAUUUUGGAGUUCUUCAUUGCAGGAAGGAAGUAGAUGGAGACAUUACUUUAAUUAAGUAUAUCUUCCCAACAUAUUGUUAGUUUAGCUUGUUAAGUUCAUGUACAUUUAUACUUUUUGCUUUCCUUUUAAUGAGCCGGGCCCAUCUGUCUUUCUU